rnacentral:rRNA from 1 species
GGUGCCCUACGGGACGCAGCAGUGGGGGAUAUUGCACAAUGGGGGAAACCCUGAUGCAGCGACGCCGCGUGGGCGAAGAAGUGUUUCGGUAUGUAAAGCCCUAUCAGCAGGGAAGAGGAAAUGACGGUACCUGAGUAAGAAGCACCGGCUAAAUACGUGCCAGCAGCCGCGGUAAUACGUAUGGUGCAAGCGUUAUCCGGAUUUACUGGGUGUAAAGGGGGCGCAGGCGGCACGGCAAGCCUGAUGUGAAAGCCCGCGGCCCAACCGCGGGACUGCAUUGGGAACUACCGGGCUGGAGUGCCGGG